CCAAUAGCGUAUAUUAAAGUUGUUGCAGUUAAAAAGCUCGUAGUUGAAUUUCGGGGUUAGUAGAUUGGUCAUGCCUCUGGUAUGCACUGGUCUCACUGAUUCCUCCUUCCUGAUGAGCCGUAAUGCCAUUAAUUUGGUGUUGCGGGGAAUUUGGACUGUUACUUUGAAAAAAUUAGAGUGUUUAAAGCAAGCUAACGCUUGAAUACAUUAGCAUGGAAUAAUGAAAUAGGACGUUCGAUCCUAUUUUGUUGGUUUCUAGGAUUGACGUAAUGAUUAAUAGGGAUAGUUGGGGGCAUUAGUAUUCAACUGGCAGAGGUGAAAUUCUUGGAUUUAUUGAAGACUAACUACUGCGAAAGCAUUUGCCAAGGAUGUUUUCAUUAAUCAAGAACGAAAGUUAGGGGAUCGAAGACGAUCAGAUACCGUCGUAGUCUUAACCAUAAACUAUGCCGACUAGGGAUCGGAUGAUGUUAAUUUUUUAAUGACUCAUUCGGCGCCUUACG
rnacentral:rRNA from 1 species